AUCACUUCUCGGCCUUUUGGCUAAGAUCAAGUGUAGUAUCUGAGGAGCGGGACAUCACCUUGGAGACGCAAAGGGGUUGCUGGGGAUGGGAAGGCACCCCGA
rnacentral:snRNA from 1 species